rnacentral:rRNA from 1 species
GACGAACGCUGGCGGCGUGCUUAACACAUGCAAGUCGAACGGAAAGGCCCUGCUUUUGUGGGGUGCUCGAGUGGCGAACGGGUGAGUAACACGUGAGUAACCUGCCCUUGACUUUGGGAUAACUUCAGGAAACUGGGGCUAAUACCGGAUAGGAGCUCCUGCUGCAUGGUGGGGGUUGGAAAGUUUCGGCGGUUGGGGAUGGACUCGCGGCUUAUCAGCUUGUUGGUGGGGUAGUGGCUUACCAAGGCUUUGACGGGUAGCCGGCCUGAGAGGGUGACCGGCCACAUUGGGACUGAGAUACGGACCAGUCUACUACGGGAGGCAGGAGUGGGGAAUAUUGCACAAUGGGCGGAAGCCUGAUGCAGCAACGCCGCGUGCGGGAUGACGGCCUUCGGGUUGUAAACCGCUUUCGCCUGUGGCGAAGCGUGAGUGACGGUAAUGGGUAAAGAAGCCCCGGCUAACUACGUG